rnacentral:rRNA from 1 species
GACGAACGCUGGCGGCGUGCCUAACACAUGCAAGUCGAACGGAGAAUUUUAUUUCGGUAGAAUUCUUAGUGGCGAACGGGUGAGUAACGCGUAGGCAACCUACCCUUUAGACGGGGACAACAUUCCGAAAGGAGUGCUAAUACCGGAUGUGAUCAUCGUGCCGCAUGGCAGGAUGAAGAAAGAUGGCCUCUACAAGUAAGCUAUCGCUAAAGGAUGGGCCUGCGUCUGAUUAGCUAGUUGGUAGUGUAACGGACUACCAAGGCGAUGAUCAGUAGCCGGUCUGAGAGGAUGAACGGCCACAUUGGGACUGAGACACGGCCCAAACUCCUACGGGAGGCAGCAGUGGGGAAUCUUCCGCAAUGGACGAAAGUCUGACGGAGCAACGCCGCGUGAGUGAUGAAGGAUUUCGGUCUGUAAAGCUCUGUUGUUUAUGACGAACGUGCAGUGUGUGAACAAUGCAUUGCAAUGACGGUAGUAAACGAGGAAGCCACGGCUAACUACGUGCCAGCAGCCGCGGUAAUACGUAGGUGGCGAGCGUUGUCCGGAAUUAUUGGGCGUAAAGAGCAUGUAGGCGGCUUAAUAAGUCGAGCGUGAAAAUGCGGGGCUCAACCCCGUAUGGCGCUGGAAACUGUUAGGCUUGAGUGCAGGAGAGGAAAGGGGAAUUCCCAGUGUAGCGGUGAAAUGCGUAGAUAUUGGGAGGAACACCAGUGGCGAAGGCGCCUUUCUGGACUGUGUCUGACGCUGAGAUGCGAAAGCCAGGGUAGCGAACGGGAUUAGAUACCCCGGUAGUCCUGGCCGUAAACGAUGGGUACUAGGUGUAGGAGGUAUCGACCCCUUCUGUGCCGGAGUUAACGCAAUAAGUACCCCGCCUGGGGAGUACGGCCGCAAGGUUGAAACUCAAAGGAAUUGACGGGGGCCCGCACAAGCGGUGGAGUAUGUGGUUUAAUUCGACGCAACGCGAAGAACCUUACCAAGGCUUGACAUCCCUAUGAAUAACGGGCAAUGCCGUUAGUACUUCGGUACAUAGGAGACAGGUGGUGCAUGGUUGUCGUCAGCUCGUGUCGUGAGAUGUUGGGUUAAGUCCCGCAACGAGCGCAACCCUUAUCUUUAGUAGCCAGCAGUAAGAUGGGCACUCUAGAGAGACUGCCGGGGAUAACCCGGAGGAAGGUGGGGAUGACGUCAAAUCAUCAUGCCCCUUAUGACCAGGGCUACACACGUGCUACAAUGGCGUAAACAAAGAGAAGCGAAGUCGUGAGGCAGAGCGAAUCUCAAAAAUAACGUCUCAGUUCGGAUUGUAGUCUGCAACUCGACUACAUGAAGCUGGAAUCGCUAGUAAUCGCAGAUCAGAAUGCUGCGGUGAAUACGUUCCCGGGUCU